AUUGAACGCUGGCGGCAUGCUUUACACAUGCAAGUCGAACGGCAGCGCGGGGCAACCUGGCGGCGAGUGGCGAACGGGUGAGUAAUAUAUCGGAACGUACCCAGAAGUGGGGGAUAACGUAGCGAAAGUUACGCUAAUACCGCAUACGAUCUAAGGAUGAAAGUGGGGGACCUUCGGGCCUCAUGCUUUUGGAGCGGCCGAUAUCUGAUUAGCUAGUUGGUGAGGUAAAGGCUCACCAAGGCGACGAUCAGUAGCUGGUCUGAGAGGACGACCAGCCACACUGGAACUGAGACACGGUCCAGACUCCUACGGGAGGCAGCAGUGGGGAAUUUUGGACAAUGGGCGCAAGCCUGAUCCAGCAAUGCCGCGUGAGUGAAGAAGGCCUUCGGGUUGUAAAGCUCUUUUGUCAGGGAAGAAACGGCUUGGGCUAAUAUCCUGAGCUAAUGACGGUACCUGAAGAAUAAGCACCGGCUAACUACGUGCCAGCAGCCGCCGUAA
rnacentral:rRNA from 1 species